rnacentral:rRNA from 1 species
CCUACGGGGGGCAGCAGUCGAGAAUUAUUCACAAUGGGGGAAACCCUGAUGGUGCGACGCCGCGUGGGGGAAUGAAGGUCUUCGGAUUGUAAACCCCUGUCAUGUGGGAGCAAAUUAAAAAGAUAGUACCACAAGAGGAAGAGACGGCUAACUCUGUGCCAGCAGCCGCGGUAAUACAGAGGUCUCAAGCGUUGUUCGGAAUCACUGGGCGGAAAGCGUGCGUAGGCUGUUUCGUAAGUCGUGUGUGAAAGGCGCGGGCUCAACCCGCGGACGGCACAUGAUACUGGGAGACUAGAGUAAUGGAGGGGGAACCGGAAUUCUCGGUGUAGCAGUGAAAUGCGUAGAUAUCGAGAGGAACACUCGUGGCGAAGGCGGGUUCCUGGACAUUAACUGACGCUGAGGCACGAAGGCCAGGGGAGCGAAAGGGAUUAGAUACCCUAGUAGUC